GCUAGAGCCGUGACAUGGGGAACGUGAAUACGGAGGAUGCAAGCGGUAUCCGGAAUCAUUGGGUUUAAAUGGUCCGUAGGCGGCAUUAUAAGUCAGAGGUGAAAGUUUUUGGCUUAACCAAAAAAUUGCCAUUGAUACUGUAGGGCUUGAAUAUUUGUGAAGUAACUAGAAUAUGUAGUGUAGCGGUGAAAUGCAUAGAUAGUACAUGGAAUACCAAUUGCGAAGGCAGGUUACUAACAAAUGAUUGACGCUGAUGGACGAAAGCGUGGGUAGCGAACAGGAUUAGAUAGCCUAUUAGUC
rnacentral:rRNA from 1 species